GUCGUCUAUACAGUCCGGGGAAGUCAUCUAUACAGUUCAGGGAAGUCAUCUAUACAGUCUAGGGAAUUCAUCUAUACGGUCCAGAGAGGUCAUCUAUACAGUCCGGUGAGGUCUCUCUGAAGGUUAACUAUACAGUCCAGGGAGGUCAUCUAUACAGUCCAGGGGGGCCAUCUAUACAGUCCAGGGGGGCCAUCUAUACAUUCCAGGGAGGCCAUCUAUACUGUCCGGGGAGGUCAUCUAUACAGUCCAGGGAGGCCAUCUAUACAGUCCAGGGAGGUCGUCUAUACAGUCCGGGGAGGUCGUCUAUACAGUCCAGGGUGGUCAUCUAUACAGUCCAGGGAAUUCAUCUAUACAGUCCAGGGAGGUCAUCUAUAUAGUCCAGUGAGGUGUCCCUGGAGGUCAUCUAUACAGUCUGGGGAGGUCAUCUAUACAUUCCGGGGAGGUCAUCUAUACAGUCCAGGGAGGUCAUCUAUACAUUCCGGGGAGGUCGUAUAUACAGUCUGGGGAGCUCAUCUAUACAGUCCAGGGAGGCCAUCUAUACAAUCCAGGGAGGCCAUCUAUACAGUCCAGGGAGGCCAUCUAUACAGUCCGGGGAGGUCAUCUAUACAGUCCGGGGAGGUCAUCUAUACAGUUCAGGGAGGUCAUCUAUACAGUUCAGGGAGGUCUUCUAUACAGUCCAGGGAGGUCAUCUAUACAGUUCAGGGAGGUCAUCUAUACAGUUCAGGGAGGUCAUCUAUACAGUUCAGGGAGGUCUUCUAUACAG